UACGAAGGGGGCUAGCGUUACUCGGAUUUACUGGGCGUAAAGGGCGCGUAGGCGGCCAGCACAAGUCAGUUGUGAAAUCUCCGAGCUUAACUCGGAAAGGUCAACUGAUACUGUGCGGCUAGAGUGCGGAAGGGGCAACUGGAAUUCUUGGUGUAGCGGUGAAAUGCGUAGAUAUCAAGAGGAACACCUGCGGCGAAGGCGGGUUGCUGGGCCGACACGUGACGCUGAGGCGCGAAAGCUAGGGGAGCGAACGGG
rnacentral:rRNA from 1 species